AUUGAACGCUGGCGGCAUGCCUAACACAUGCAAGUCGAACGGCAGCACGGGGGCAACCCUGGUGGCGAGUGGCGGACGGGUGAGGAAUGCAUAGGAAUCUGCCCAGUUGUGGGGGAUAACGUAGGGAAACUUACGCUAAUACCGCAUACGACCUACGGGUGAAAGAGGGGGACCUUCGGGCCUCUCGCGAUUGGAUGAGCCUAUGCCGGAUUAGCUAGUUGGCGGGGUAAGAGCCCACCAAGGCGACGAUCCGUAGCUGGUCUGAGAGGAUGAUCAGCCACACUGGAACUGAGACACGGUCCAGACUCCUACGGGAGGCAGCAGUGGGGAAUAUUGGACAAUGGGCGCAAGCCUGAUCCAGCAAUGCCGCGUGUGUGAAGAAGGCCUCGGUUGUAAG
rnacentral:rRNA from 1 species